UUUUAAACUUUUACUCAGCACAAUCAUACUUCUACUUGCUUGCUUUUCUCUUGUUCUCUUUAUCUUCUUGCUUUUGGUCUUGCGUUCUAGCCGCGGUGUUGGUUCAAACUUUAACUGGUCUGGUUUGCAAGAGCUUCGCGUGCAAUUCCCAAUACAAACACCCCUCUCCUCCCCGUGUGGCAUAGUCAGCUUCUUUCCUGGCAAAUACUUGAACAAUGUUUGGAACAUUAUUUGACAAGCAAGGAGGAAAGCAUUAUUUUUACUGCUGUCAGCACGCGAGCAGUGGCAAAUAGCUCAAGCUGUCUUCUGGAGCUGUGGCACUAGGCUUGUGGGCCUUUGUAUUUGCCCAUAACGGAGAGACUCGCGGAAUACGUGAUGUGCUGACGACCUCUGUUCUACUGCUCAAGUGCAACUUGGGUUUAGCGGACCCUGCAUCAAGUGGAAUCCUGUCCGUACCGGACAAAUUUUCACGCACGGAUGGGCUGCCAUAGAAAACUGACCACAACAAGCGGAAUACUGUCGAACGUGGAAAGCGGAACAGAUUUCAUGCACAGGUUGCUAGUAAGCUAAUUGUACUCUGCCACUUGUAUGGGAGUACGCCAGAGAUGGAAACACAUGCUGUGCAAGCUACUAUCUGCGACGGGAGGAGUACUCUCUGAGUUAUUGCCGGCUGAGCUACACUACUGCAGAGGCUGUGCAAACUUCUACAAGGUGGCCUGGAAGUGAGAAAUCAUCUAGUAAUGCUAGAGCUAUGCUAUAUUCAAAAUGUGUUAUAUUAUUUUCUUUGGUUAUCACUUAUCAACCACUGUAGGAGGUGCUCCAUUUACGCUGCAAGUACCAUAGGGAAAGUGUGCUCAGGAUGGGGAAA